UACGGAGGGGGCAAGCGUUGUUCGGAAUCACUGGGCGUAAAGCGCACGCAGGCGGCUUGCUAAGUCCGGGGGGAAAUCCCGGAGCUCAACUUCGGAAUUGCCUUUGAUACUGUCUGUCUUGAGUCCGGGAGAGGUGAGUGGAAUUCCUAGUGUAGAGGUGAAAUUCGUAGAUAUUCGCAAGAACACCAGUGGCGAAGGCGGCUCACUGGCCCGAUACUGACGCUGAGGUGCGAAAGCGUGGGGAGCAAACAGG
rnacentral:rRNA from 1 species